GCAAGUGCAGAAGGGAGAAGGCGCUAUCUAGCAGCAGCAAACGCUUGUCUCAGCUAUGGCAUCAUCACUGACUCCGAGUACUAGUUCCGGCCGGCAGCCUCAACGCCGGGUCACAUUCAUCGACACAAUCCUAUCUACCACGGCAACCAGCCUUCGAACCUCUCCUCCACCGGCUUCGCCCGCGAAUCUCCGAUGACGCCGACAGGACGCGGUUGCUCCUUCGCUGCCGCUGCAGGCAAGCCGCUCUCCGGCUCCGUGCACGGGUCGUCGGCCUUCGCGAUCACGUUCUUGACGGCACCGC
rnacentral:lncRNA from 1 species